rnacentral:tRNA from 1 species
GGUUAAAAGCUGUGGUUAAAUGUUUGGCUGCUAACCAAAAGGUCGGUGGUUCAAACCCACC